rnacentral:rRNA from 1 species
GACGAACGCUGGCGGCGUGCUUAACACAUGCAAGUCGAACGCUGAAGACCUGGCUUUUGUUGGGUUGGAUGAGUGGCGAACGGGUGAGUAACACGUGAGUAACCUGCCCUCUUCUUUGGGAUAACGCCCGGAAACGGGUGCUAAUACUGGAUAUUCACUGAUCUUCGCAUGGGGGUUGGUGGAAAGGUUUGUUCUGGUGGGGGAUGGGCUCGCGGCCUAUUAGCUUGUUGGUGGGGUGAUGGCCUACCAAGGCUUUGACGGGUAGCCGUCCUGGGAGGGUGACCGGUCACAUUGGGACUGAGAUACGGCCCAGACUCCGACGGGAGGCAGCAGUGGGGAAUAUUGCACAAUGGGCGAAAGCCUGAUGCAGCGACGCCGCGUGAGGGAUGGAGGCCUUCGGGUUGUAAACCUCUUUCGCUCAUGGUCAAGCCGCAACUGUGGGUUGUGGUGAGGGUAGUGGGUAAAGAAGCGCCGGCUAACUACGUG